AUAACUGCUAGUUUUAACUUUGCUCCGUAUCAUUAUUAAAAGCACUAGCAGAGUCUUUACACUGCACACCACUGCUGACCCCAGAAAUGACCCACAGGAACUACUGGCGAAAGGAGCGAAAAGGUAUUCUCAGCUGA
rnacentral:lncRNA from 1 species